GGCAUCUUCAUCUUGGCCACCUUGCUUUGCUGUCGGUGGAUCGUUGUUUGUAAUAUUUGUGCUUUUUAAGAAUAUUUUUUUAAUUCGGAUACUUUUAUAAUAGCUUUAAUAGUAUUAUUAACAUAGUGAAUAAAAUGGUGUCCUGUUUUUAACGCAGUUGGAGUAGCAGAAACAAAUGUAGAUAAAAAAAUCUGCAGGAAUAACGUUUCAAUUAUGACAGAAGCUCCAAACAAAUGACUGAAUGAAAAGCCCUAUUAAAAGCUUUCCAGAAGAUCCUGCGAAGAAGACAUGAAGUAUAGAUCAGAUUUGUUAAUAGAGGAGUAUGCUCAAAACACUUUUUAGAAAAAGAUAUUGACAGAACUUCACUUUCAUCUGUUCGUUUAAGAGACUGUGCUGUUCCAAUAGCUUAUGUCACACAGAAUCAGCUGAGAGAAGUGGUCUACAAAAAACCAGAAAGGAAACGGAAUAUGUGGCUACGAAAAGCAAAAGAAAGGUUUACAAAGCAAAUGUGACACAUUUUUUUAUAAUAUUUAGGAAUGUCAGUAAAUUACAUUAAAA